rnacentral:lncRNA from 1 species
AUAAGCUGCAGGAAGUCGGUGCUCCGGAGCAAGACGGUACUCGACGGAGACUACGACAGCCGGAAUUUCAGUAACAAUUGGAGUGUACAAAGCAUCAAACCUGGCUGUAUUUACACUACACGCCACGAAGCCUCCGGCAUGAAAAUAAAUAAUGAGGGGCAAUUUUUGUUUAGGGGAGGAAUCAUCAUCAUCAAACGCUUUCCGCGGAACGAAUAUUCGAGCCCAGGUGCCCUUCGAUUGGUUUAUGUCCAAGUCCUUUGAAAGAUGAAAAGGGCUGCUAGGAUCGGACGAGGCAGGUGUGCUCGGUGGUUGAAACAGGCGUGUGAUUGAGCCAUCGGGAUUUUUUGCCAAUCCAUGUAGCCAUAGGGGUUUUCAUUAGGAUCAACUGGCUGCUGAACUUGAUCUGACAUGAUGGUUUUCUUGGACAGAUGUUUUGUGGGUAGGAAAGGAUAGAAGGUAUAUUUGUAGAGGCAGCAGAGUCUUGAUAGUUUUCUCUCUGGCUGCGUUGGCUGAUAGGAUUUGUAGUUUAGACGAUUAGUAUAAGUGUUUGCCUCACACUCUCAUACACAAGAACGCCGUUCUAUCUGCUAAUUUGUCGUACAACAUGUAGCAAUUGAUUGAACUUUGAAGAUCAGUCAAUAAGUGCUAAGUGCCAACAACUCCUUUUGUUUUUUUAUUAUUUUUUUAUUUGACCGAGGAGUGGAAUAAUAGUUUUCAAACUUCCCGGGAAGAUGAAAAUAUUGACCACUUCUUCAACUUGAGACUGGAGACCGUCAAAUUUGGCAAUUGAAUUUCGAUUAUUAUUAAUUAGACCGAGGACUCGAGGGCUCUUAAGAAGCCCAAAAGUUGAAAAAGAAGUAAAAUCUGGGAGGGUUCCAACUUAUAAGUUCAAGGUGAUUUUGGAACGUCCCCGGUAGCACAGAAGGAGAUUUUGGGAGCAGAUAUUUUGGGAGUUGUUACCCCUAGGGGUGAUUUCUUCUAAAGGGGGUUUGUCAUUUCUUAUCUCUACAAUAAUAAAGUUUGUGUCGGUAUUAACUUUGUUUGUUUUCAAAUUUAUUUUUAUCUCUAUUUUUUUAAUGAUUAGCUUCUCCAUUAAUCAUUAUUUCUAUUAUCAACUGAAACACAAAUUUUAUCCAAUCAAAAUUAUCUCCCUUCAAUUCUCACAUUCUCCCUUACUAAUGCGUUUUUUACUUCCAAUUGUACAUAUUUCUGUAUAAUACACUUUUUUCACAUAUUACAUAAAAUAGUUACGCUCAUUUGCACUAUUUUUGUAAUUCUUUCAAUUAAAAAUAUUUUUUGACAAAUUGCACACGCAUUAAGUGUGCCUCGAUGACUAGUAGUAACUAAUAAUGAUGAAUAAAGGGAUAGUUUAUUAGUUUUACAAUUUUUUGGACGAUUUUCUCUAUCUUCCAAACAUCCAAGUAAACUGGCACAACAAUUUGAGUUCAAUUUUUAUUAUAAACUCCACCCAAAAUAUUCUUGUUUAUUGGUACAUCAGGUAAAAUGCGGUGAAGUUGACCUCUAUUGUUGCAUAAUUAUAUUUCAGUUGUAUAAAAUUGAAAAGACAAGAUGAAAAAUAUAGGACAUGGAUAUUAUUAUUGACACAGAAAAUCAUUCAACAGAUAUAUUACUUUUCAUUUAGAUGUGAUUAGACUUUAUUUUUUCCACUCAACAUGCUAGUUGAUGCACCUCUACUUUCCGUAAAGUUGCAACCUCCUGUCGAGUACAGAUGAAAUGUAGAAAAUGGAAUUUUACAAAAGAAAAAGACAGCUAAGGAACGAAAAAGAUGGGGAAAAAAAAUUUAGGCAACAUGAAAGCCGAUAUAGUUUUUUUUAUUUUAUAAAUAAAAAGUUUUGAAUUCAGAAUCUCUUACUUGUAAUUCUUUCCGAACACUAGUCGUAUAAGUUUUGUAUAACUGAUACAACUAUCAUCCCGUUACACUACCAUACAAAUCCAAGACCUAAUUGUAUUAUUAUCUCUUUGAAAACAGAAGGGCACAGACAAUUUUAUCACUCAUGUAACUAGAUGACAAUUUUGGGACAAGAAAAGUCCAAAUAUUACUACAUCAAAAGUCCAGCUCACUCGAUAUAAUCAAAAGUAGUCCAUACUGCACACAAAUGAAAUUAGCUAGUAAGCCACCAAACAGAAAAGCUAGUUCUACCAUACCAGCGCACUAGCUUGGCUUAGCUGAACUUUUUGGCUUUUGACCUGUUGUAAGAUCAAAAUAGCUUCCCAAAGCACAUACUUUUUCAAGAAGUGGUGGUAGAUUCAACAAGGUCUUUAAUAACAAUGGCUAGUUCUUUAGCCUUUGUGGGAUCUCCAAGCUCAUACGCAUGAGCUCCUCCCUCAUCAAACUUGCCUGUCACCGAUACACCUUUCUCUUCUAAUUUCUUCCAAAGCUCAAUCUGCCGAUCUAUCAUCAGAUCACCAUCAAAGCCAGUGACCAAAAUCUUCCACCCCAGAGAUUUGACCUGAUCAAAUUGGUCUGGCUUAAUCUUCGCCAUUGGAUUGCAAUACUCAUGAUCGCGGUCAACGCCGAUUGGCAAGCUCAGAUCCCACAUCAGAUCAGUUAACGACAGCGGUACAAACCUGUCGUUGGCGAGCCUCAACUCUGACUCAGUCCUCUCGAUCCCACCAAAGAAUGGUUGAUGCAUUAUCAACCCUUUGAUCUGCAGAGGCAGAGAUCGUCAACACAUGCAGCUACUUGGAGGCCAACAUGAUAAACAAUGUUACCCAACCAGCUACUGCCCAUCAAGAAAGCCUUAGAAAAGUCAGCAUGUUUUGACCACCUCGUCGUUGGAGUUUUUGAUGAUCCAAUGCAAGCUUCGAAGCAAUCUUCAUAAGCUGCAGGAAGUCGGUGCUCCGGACCAAGACGGUACUCGACGGAGACAACUACAGCCGGAAUUUCAGUAACAAUUGGAGUGUACAAAGCAUCAAACAUGGCUGUAUUUACGCUACACGCGACGAAACCUCCAGCAUGAAAAUAAAUAAUGAGGGGCAAUUUUGUUUAGGGGAGGAAUCAUCAUCAUCAAAUGCUUUCCGAGGAACGAAUAUUCGAGCCCAGGUGCCCUUCGAUUGGUUUAUGUCCAAGUCCUUUGAAAGAUGAAAAGGGUUGCUGGAUCGGACGAGGCAGGUGUGCUCGGUGGUUGAAACAGGCGUGUGAUUGAGCCAUCGGGAUUUUUUGCGAUUCCCAGGUAGCCAUAGGGGUUUUCAUUAGGAUCAACUGGCUGCUGAACUUGAUCUGACAUGAUGGUUUUCUUGGACAGAUGUUUUUUUGUAGAUAUAAAGGAAGAUAAUUGUAGAGUUUAUAAGGUAUUUGUAGAGCCUUGCCAGCUAGUUUGACGUUUACUCUCGUUGCUCUUGAUAAUGACUUGUACUAUAUGGGAUUAACAUUCCUAUGACAUAAUUUAUCCUAACCUUGGAAAGGGAAAAUCGAUGAAAGUAAAAAUUUCAUCAGAUAAAGUCAUUGAAGACAGCUACAUACAGUGAUAAUUUGAUGGAAGGUAAAGAUUAAACCCUUCACAUUCCAACAUCACCAAAAUUUAAGUGCUUGACAGUGACCACCAGGCAAAGGACCGGUAGCUCACUUCACAAGAACGCUAAUUUAUUAUAUAACCGUUUGGUUGACUUCUGAUGGAGAAAUCGAUUAAAAACCAGCUGAUUUACUCCUAGUGCUGUAACUUAAAUUUUCCUGUCUGCAUUCGAUGAGUUUUGAUCCAACAAAAAAUUGGGAUUUUCGCUGUGACUUGUGGACAUUGGGGAUUUGGCCCCAUUGGUGGAGUUGUUGGAAUAUUAAUAACUGCUAAUUACUCCUUUGUUUGUAGUGGUUCGAUUUGAACGAAGAGUCAAACAAUAGCUUUCAAACUUCCGUGGAGGGUGAAAUGUUGACCACUUCUUGAACUUAGACUAGAGACUAUCAUUUUCUUUUUUUUUUUUUUGGCGGUAACAAUAACACUUGUAUAACUUGCUUUAACUUAUUUUAGUAAGAGGGAAAGCCUAACCGACAGAGUUGGAUUUCGCUCUGAAGAAGUCACUUGAAAGUGAUAAACACAAUUAAAUUAAAUGAGUAUAUGAUGAGAGGCAAGAGUUAACUUCCACUCCCACCAAAAUUAAAAUCUCAACUUCCAACAAACCACUUGAAAGUGAUAAUCAAAAUUAAAUGAGUAUACGAUGAGAGGCAAGAGUUAACUCCCUCUCCCAUCAAGACUAAAGGUUUAGUGGUGAUAAGCAACUUCCAACAACCUCAACCCAAGAGGUUGUUGGCUUCAUAUUUCGUUGGUAGUCGAAUCCGAUCCUUCCAUCUAUCAUUGGACUGAGGAGGGUUCAAGCCCAGAACUUGAGAGAAAAGUAAAAUUUGGGGGCAGUUCUUCUAUCUUCCAAGUUCAAGUUUCAAGAUUCAAUCUACUUGGGAGAUCCUCUCGGGCCACUGAAGAGAUUUUGGGAUCUGCUGUUUCGGGGUUGUUACCUACCCCAGCCCCCAGGUUGUUUUCUUCUUAAAGGGCCUUUGUCGCACGUUAUAAACCAAACAAAGAAACAAAAUUUAUAGGGAAAAUUACUGUGUUAGUCCUAAUGUACAGCCCUCUACAGUUUUAGUUCUUAAAAGUUUGAUAAAAAAAAAAAAAUUGAUCCCUAAUGUUUUAUAUAUGUAUAGUUUUGGUACCUAAAGUUUGGGCAAGAACAUAUCUGGUUCUCAAUGUAUCCAAUUUAAAGCAGAUUGAUUUAGGACAAUUGAUAAAUUUUUACUGACAUAUUUAGUCAUUAGCAAUCAUGAGUCCAUUAAGUUGAAUUCUAAAAUAAGGGUAAAUUACACUAACUUGAAUUUUAAAAUAAGGGUAAAUUACACUGACUUCCUCUCUAGUUUCUGCAAAAGUUACACACCUCCCUUCUUGAUUUUUUUUUUUUUUUUUUUUUGAUAAUACCUCCCUUCUUGAUUUUAAAAUUACAGGGAUCUCACCUCUAAAUCACUAUAUAAUGUUGAUUACUUCCCCUACUGUUAACCAGAUAAUGAAAGUCAAUUUGUAUUGCCAUUAAUAUCCUCCCACAUUCCCAAAAUGCCCUAGGUUGACAUUGUUUUUCUUUUCUACAAAAUUGAAAAAUCUGAUUGCAAGAUUUUUUUUUUUUUCUUUAGCUCUUAUGGUAGUAUGAAACACAUCCUAGCAUUUUGUAGAAAAUAUCCAAUUUAGAUCCAACAGAAUUGGAGGCUUCAACCGCUGAUAUAAAUCUCAGGCUCAUUCACUAGGCUAAAAGGACUAUAUUUCCCUUUCCAUAUUGAUAUCUGCCAUUUGUAAUGUAGUUAUUAUACUCGACUCGACCUGACAGUUGAAUUGGUCAACUUGAUGAAUCAGCCACCGAACCGGCUGGGUUAGUAAUUAGAUUGGAUAAUGGAAGAUCCCAAUCCCAUUGAUUAGUUAAUGAUGCAGUGGGGUUGCUGGAAUUUGAAUCCAAGACUAGUCGGGUCCAUGUGUUUCUUUUCGAAUAGGAAAUAGUUCAACCAAAAAAAUCUCACAAAUCCAACAACGAUUGGACCACCGGUUCGACCACUAAUUCAAUUAUUUAUUAUUUUUAAUAACUCAAACUUUUCAUUUUAAUUUCAUCAUUUUUCUUGCUAUAGUAUUUCCUUUUUAUAAUAAAUUUUUAGAAUUUUUGAAAAACAUUAUUUGUCAAAAUUUGCUUAUCACUUUUGAUGAACGAUCAAUAUACCGCAGCCAAGGUAGGUGGAACAAUUGAGUCGGUGACCGCGACUGCAACUGCCAUGGCAAAUCAGGUCCCAACCCUGAUUAAGCCAUUAGGAUUAAGGUCUAUGUCACUUAAUUCGUGGAUGGAUCAAUUCCAUUUAUGGUAGAUUUCUUGUAUAUGAGUGUAUAUGAAGACAUUCCAAGGUUUAUGCGGUGGUAGACCUGGCGGUCCAUCCUGUGUAGGUUUUCGGUGGUUGUGAGCAAUUGAAACAUGGCCAGGUAACAUCAGGUCACCAUCCAGUUGAACUCUAUAUGUUGGCCAGAAGUAAAAGAAUAAUACGCAUGAUGUUGUAGGUCCUAGUAAUGGUUAUUGGUUAAUAUCAUAUAUUUGAUAUUUUCUCGACUGCUAGCACCAUGAUUUGAGUCUCAACCCCGGUUUAGACCAGUUGAGAUUCUAAUUCAAUGUCAAUUCCACUUAUCACGUGAUGAUAGAAGAAAUUUAAAUAAACAGCACAUGACAAGUUAAAUAAACAAAACACUUGGUAUAAAUAUAGAAGUGAUACUGAAUUGCUACCGGAAAAGUGGCAUUGAGAAUCCCACGUGGGCUUAGACACCCCAAAUAGGAGAACAUAUGAAGCAUGAAAAAUAUUUUGAUCAGCAUUGUCAUGUUUGAAUAUCUUGAAGAGUUUAACACGUAAAGAUCGAUCAAAGAGUAGCUCAAACUUGUGUAGAAGUUUAACCCUGGUAUCUGAAAUCAAUGGCCUUGCUUUGGAAGCAAGUUUUUAGCUAAGUUUGUCUGCUACAAGUUUUUUAAUAACUUUAGUUAUAGUGACCUUAAAAAACUUUUCAAAAUUUUUAAAUUAUACACUUCAAAAUAUUAAAAAAUUUACACACUUCAAAAAUUUACCUACAACUUCUACAGUGAGUUACAAUAAAAUUUUAGACAAACACCCAAAAAACUCACUUGCCAAACGGAGCCAAUGUCUGAAAAACCAGUGUUAGAGGAGAGUUACCCGACUCUUCAAAACUUCCAGUAGAUUUGUAGUUAUCCAACUCAACAAAAACAGAGGAGUUACCAGAGGGUUGAGGUGCAUGAGAUAUCGGAUUAAAAUUUAUUUCCAUGAUACGGAUUUAGAAGUUUGAUACAGAUAUAACCUGGGUUUAAACCCGACUAGAUCUAAAAGUUGUAAUUGUAAACCUGAAAGUUUUUGAAGAAAAUAAAGAACACAAAACCACUGACUAAAUUUGAGAGUAACCUGUUGUAAGAUAUCCCAAGCACAGACUUUUUCAAGAAGCGGUGGCAGAUUCUACGAGGUCCUUAAUGGUAAUGGCCAGUUCUUUAGCCUUGGCGGGAUCUAGAGCCUCGUACCCAUGACUUCCUCCCUCGUCAAACUUACCUGUUACUGAUACACCGUUCUCUUCUAAUUUCUUCCAAAGCUCAAUCUGACGGUCUCUCAACGGAUCACCAUCAAAGCCAGUGACCAAAAUCUUCCACCCUAGAGCUUUAACCUGAUCAAAUUGGUCUGAUGUAAUGAACGCCAUUGGAUUGCAAUACCUAUGAUCACGGUCAAAGCCAAUUGGCAAGCUUAGAUCCCACAUCAGAUCACAUACUGUCAACGGUAUAACCAUGUCCUUGGCCAAUUUCAACUCAGAUUCAGUCAGCUCGGUCCCACCGAAGAAUGGAUGAUGCAAUAUCAACCCUUUGAUUCGCAGAGGCAGGAGAUCAUCCAUACAUGCAGCUGCACUUAAGCCAACAUGAUAGGCUAUGUUACCACCAGCAUUGGUGCCCAUCAAGAAAGCCUUAGAAAAGUCAGCAUAUUUUUCCAACCAUUCAUCGUUUGAUGCUUUAAUCCAAUGCAAGGCUUCAAAGCAAUCUUCGUAAGCUGCAGGAAGCCGGUGCUCCGGAGCAAGACGAUACUCGACAGAGAUGACGACAGCCGGGAAUUCAGUAACAAUUGGAGUGUACAAAGCAUCAAACAUGGCUGUAUUUACACUGAAUACAACGAAGCCUCCCCCAUGAAAGUAAACAAUGAGAGGCAAUUUUGUGGUAGGGAAGGAAUCAAAUGCUGCUCGGGGACGAAUAUUCGAGCCCAAGUGCCCUUAGAUUGGUUAACAUCUGCGUCCUUUGAUAGAUGAAAAGGAUUGCUAGGAUCGGAUGAGGCAGGGGUGCCAGGGGUUUGAACUUGAGACAGGCGUGUGAUAGAGCCAACGGGAUUUUUGGUCAUUCCCAGGUAGCCAUAGGGGUCUUCAUUAGGAUCAAUUAGCUGUGGAAAUUGAUCUGACAUGAUUGAUCUCUUGGACAAGCAACUGUGGAUAGAAAAUAAGGCAGAGUCCAUGUGGUAUUUGUAGAGCCUUGCUAGUUUUAUCUCUUGCUGCAUUUGAUAAUGGACUUGUUGCAGUCGCGUACGUGACUACCUCACUUGAGUGAUCACCUCCUCACCUUGAAACGAUCUCUCUAGCUACCUCAAACCUCGUCAAACUUGCCAUCCAGUUGAAUUCUGCUAUAGAAUUUCAUUAACAAUGUGCGACUAGAAUAUUCUUUAAUUUUGCUGUCUGAAUACAAUGACAUUUGAUCCAAUGAAGAAUAUGAUGUUGUAAACAUUUUCAUGCGACUUGUGGGAUUUGGUCCCAUUCUCUAAUUUGUUUUUCCUUUCCUUUGAACGAGGAGUUAAAGAAUAGUUGUCGACAUUCCAUGGAAGAUGAAAUCAUUGACCAGUUCUUGAACUUAGAUAGGAGAACGUUUGGAUUACUAUUUUUACGAGUUUUUGUAGAAAAAUAUAUAGUGGUCAUUUAAUAUAUGUGAGAUAAAUAUUUGAUGUAUAUGAUUGAAAAAUAUGUUCAUGAAAAACGUAAAAUUUUUUUGAAGAAAAAUUGCAAUCCAGACAAGGUUUUUGACAGUGGAUUCUUCCAUCAAAGUUAUGAAAUUGAGUAGGGUUCUUACCUUAUUAUUAUUAAGUAAAUUCUAGUGUCAGCUCCAACUUCAAAGUUCUACUCCUAUAAUCCAAAUUAUUGCAUGUCCGUUUGACAAUAUUAAAGCCAGAAAGGACCGCAGAUCCAGAUUCCAGCACAACCAAAUUAUCAGGUCAAUUUAAUCCAAUUAUCAGAAUAAUUAUAAUCUCCAAAAAGAAUAGUCCUUGUAUUUGUAUUAUCAGGUAAAAUGCUUUGCAGUUGACUUUUAUGGUUGCCUAAACAUACUUCAGUUAUAUAAAUUUGAAAACGGAAAUAAAUGAUAUUUUUCAUUUUUUUUCUUAAAUGUGAGAGUUCAUUUCUUCCACUCAACUAAAGCUCGGUCAUUGAAAUUCAGGCACCAUCCAGUGAAGUUCCAACUCCUCCCCUCCAGAGUAGACGUGAUGUGGAAAAAGAAAUUUAUAACAAGGAACAAAAAGGAUGGUAAAAGUUAGGCAAUUUGGAGGCUUAAUUGUGUUAAAAUCUGCUUAAGAAAAGGAAAAUAAAAUUAGGGGAAGUUAAUUUUUUACGCAAGAAAUAGAUAGUUAUCAGUAAUGAUGAUAAAUAGGGUUCAUUCUUCUCACUUCAUACAGAUGGUGUACUUAAUAUUAUAUUUCAGCUUCUUUAUUGAUGAAAUAAUUCAUUCUUAUAUGAUUUUGUAGCAAAACCGCAGAUUAUCUGCAUGAGAGUUUUGGUAAUUGGUACUCUGCUCUAAGAAUUGAUAAAUCCGUAAUUGUCUGUUUACUAAGCAUGAGGAGCUCUUACUUAUUAUUUGGUGCUAAUGUCAAUUAAUUGAGGAACUCUCAAGCAAAGAGUUCAUAAAUCCAAAAUCCAUGUAUCACUAGUAGCUCAACUUUAAUUAAAUUUAAUUUACAUUUCAUCAUUCUCUUCCCCCCCCCCCCUCCCCCCUUAAACUUUGGACUUUCCAAUAUAACAGCUUGAUUUCCCCAAGCAAAAAUUAUUUGUUUGUAUUAUAAAUAUAUUUUUCAAUACAUAAUUUUAUUUCAUAUACAUCACAUUACAAAAAGUGUUACAAUAAUUAUUUGAAAUAAUAUUUGAAAUAAACUUAUAUCCAAACACACUCUAUUAUUUGCUUUGUUUGGAUAUCUCAUUUUUUCAAAUAAUAUUUCGCCUAUAUAUCAUAAACACAUUUUUCAACUCACCUUUUAUUUCACAUACAUCACAUCACAAAUAGUGCUACAGUAAUUAUUUUAAAUAAAUAUUAAAGAAUACUCUAUCCAAACAAAUUUCACUUAAAGCAACAACCAAUCAAUUGAGUAAAUUCUCAAGUUUUUGAAAAGUGUGAGACAACGUAUUUAAUUAGUUUAUUUUUUAAAAAAAUGCAUUCAGUAAAUGCAUUUUGAAAAAAAUAAUAUUUAGACAAUUCAAAAUUGCAUUCUAUGAAUAUAACUUUCGAGGAAACAAUGCAUUCAUUUAAUAUGUUUUUCACCCUUUGAAAAUUUUCUUCUAAAAAUCUCACUUUUUGGGAUUUUACUCUAGGCCAACUAUAUGUUAGCUUUGAUAAAUUUGAGAAAAAUUUUGUUAUUAUUCUCAUAGCUCGACCUACCAUAUACAAAAGAGGAAUUAGUGUACAUUAAAAAAAAAGAAAAAACUUCUUAUGCAAAGCAUAUUUAGGUAGAUGGUCAAUUACUUGCAAUUACCUAUACGGUGUUUAAGGUGGACCUCCCAAUCAAGCGUUAUAUAUUAUUUUCAAAAGGUUCUAAUAUUCAACAAAUUAUGCCCAUAAUACACUGAUAGUAGUCAAAAAGUUUUUUUUUUUUUUUUUUUAUUUAAAGCUUUGUGGCGGGAAUCCCUAUUUCCCUCCUUUUAACGUUUCAAAACCAAAAUCAAUCAAGACCUUCGUCAAUCCAAAAACUCCAAACCCCUAAACCUUCUCUCUCACACAUACACACACACAUCAAAAUGCGGAAAAACAACGACGAACAACAGCUCCGUGAUGCUAAACGGGCUUAUAAGGAAGCAAAGGAGGUGGGGAAUCGGGCGGAGGAGGCGCGGUGGGCAAAUUACAUCGGCAACAUUCACAAAAAUCGAGGAGAAUACGUCCAGGCCCUCAAGUGGCUCCGCAUCGAUUAUGACGUUUCAAGCAAUUUUUUGCCAGAUAAACAGCUCCUUCCGACUUGUAAUACCCUCGGAGAACUGUAUCUCCGCCUUCAAGAUUUCAAGGAUGCCCUAAAAAUUCAGGUAAUAUUCUGUUACUAUUACAUAAUUGUGUAGCUUGAAAGUGUGGUACCUUAGGCCUAUGAGUUGUAUGUUGCCCAGAAAAUUAAAAAUUUCCUUUUUUUCAUUAACUGAUUGAUUGAUUGAUGAAGAAAUGCCUAUAAUUGUUGGUUGUUCUUGUUGUGGUAUGUGGUGUUGUACCUUCCACUACCUGUUUGAUUCUGCUUUCUAGAACUAAUUUUCAAUCUAAUUGCUGAAUUGGUUGACAUUUUCGCUUUUUGGUUAAUUAUAAAUUAGAAUUCCGUUGAUCUUCAUACAAAGUUAGUGACUUUAAUUUUGUAUUGCUAGAAAAAAAAUUGUUUUAGAAUAGGGAGGGUGGGAAGGAAGAAGCUGGGAGGGGAGGGAGAGUGUAAUAGAGAUGGUGAGAAUAGAGCCCUCGUGCUAGGAGGAGGGGAAAAAAGACCCUUAUCCAUUGGUCGGCUUCAAAUUAUCAAAGGUAUUGACUUAGCUCCGCUCCUUCCUCCAAAUAUUGGUUAGUGAUGGUCAUCGGCUUGCGUAAUGCCGCAAUUAUGAGAAGCUGUUGUCGUGU